GGUUCUUCAAAGAACUUGUUAGAAGGUGGGUUCAUCGAGGAACCUCCGUUGUUGCUGGACUUCUUCCGGGAACUUCGCAAUUACAUCUGAAAACGAUGGUGACAAGUUUGGAUGCGACAACAAGUUAAAAAGGACUGGAGACAACAGCAGCGAUUCUGCUCUUUCCCUACCUCUUCAAUGAGGACCCGAGUGGCCUUUAUGUCCGUGACAAGAUUUCACCGCUCUUCACUCCUUUACUGGACAUCGGCGGAAAUCCAUUUCACCAGGAGAGUGAAAUCCCGCUGGCCUUUGAUGGGGAGAACAUUCACACCCUCGAGGACGUCCCCAUGGGGCUCUGCUAGGGCUGUAUUUUUUAUUUUCCCUUAAAUUUCCCAAAAAUGUCAGAAAAACACUUUUGUUCUUAAAGUUACUGUGUUCUGGGGAGAAGAGAAUUUGGGGUGAAGUUACCAGGGCCAGGCAUAAAGAUGGCAAACUUCCUAACAUAACUAAGUGGAUACGUUAUACACACUAAAGCUGAAAAAUUUGCAUUUAGCAUCAAGUCUACGAUGUUGUUAGUUUACCUAUGAUUCAUUUUCAAUGUAUGUUGUUUUUAUUGUACACCAUUAUUUUAUAUUUUUAAAAUGUCAUGAAAAGCACUAUACAAAGUAAAUGUAUUAUUUAUUAUGGCCUGACAUGUCUGCAGAAAUGUUGCAAUUUUGUAGUGUUUUGUUUGGUAAAUAUUUUAAUUCACAUUUGUGGUGCCAUUAAUUAAAG